rnacentral:lncRNA from 1 species
GAGAAUUUUCAGUUUGAUGAAACUAGUAUUGUCUAUGGAGAAUUUCAAUCGCAGACAGUCUAAGUCUGUGAUGUUAGUACCUUCCAGCUUUAAUCUUUUUUAUAAAAUAGAACACUGCUAGAGGGAAGCCAAAGGUACUCAAGGAAUAACAGCUGCUGGGAAGCCAGGCUACUUUCUGGAAGCAUGGAAAACUGACAGAAACAUAAGGAGCAAGACUUUGAAGCUGGCAUUUUAACCCCAGGAUUGUACUUACCUUUUGAAAAGCUGCGUCUGGCAUUCAAGAUUUAUCUCUGUUCCAAGCAGUACAUGUAACAACCUAAAAUAAGAAACCUAGCAGCUGGAGCCCCUUACCCUGGGCAACUUUUGACAUGUGGAAGUUUGAACCCAAUGCUUCUCCAUGAGGAACGUGGAGGAGAAACGUAGAGGAGAAACGUGGAGGAGAAUGUGGAGGAGAAACCUGCC